UUAUCUAACACUUUUUCUAUCUCCUUGCUUUUUCUCUUUUUUAUUCACCGCUGUGGACUGAGCGGGAACCCCUCACCUUCUAUAUAUUCAUUCUCUUUGCUUCGUAUCUUAACACAUUCUUAUUUUCUCUCGAGAUCUAACAUUCUCACCCUGCUUUUAGCGCACAAUGACUCCAGCCAUCGAAACUCAGACCAAGACGGCCAAUUCCAAACCAUCUCCGCACAUUCCUUUGAAUGAAAGAAUUCUUUCAUCCAUGACCAGGAGAUCAGUUGCUGCACAUCCUUGGCAUGAUCUUGAAAUAGGACCUGGUGCCCCAGUCAUCUUUAAUGCUGUGAUUGAAAUUAGCAAGGGCAGUAAAGUGAAGUAUGAACUUGACAAAAAAACUGGGCUCAUCAAGGUUGAUCGUGUUCUUUACUCAUCAGUUGUCUACCCCCAUAACUAUGGCUUCGUUCCUCGCACUCUCUGUGAGGACAAUGACCCUAUAGAUGUGCUAGUUAUAAUGCAGGAACCUGUUCUUCCCGGAUGCUUUCUGAGGGCUAAAGCAAUAGGCGUCAUGCCCAUGAUUGAUCAGGGAGAAACAGAUGACAAGAUAAUUGCUGUUUGUGCUGAUGAUCCGGAGUACAAGGACUACAAUGACAUCAAGGAUCUCCCACCACACCGUUUGGCUGAAAUUCGUCGCUUUUUUGAAGAUUUAAUCAGACAAGAAAAAUGAGAACAAGAAAGUUGCAGUUGAUGAUUUUCUUCCUGCCACAAAGGCUUAUGAAGCCAUACAGCAUUCAAUGAAUCUCUACGCUGACUACGUAGUUGAGAGUUUAAGACGGUAGCUUUUUCCUCCAUACACCAAUGAACAGCAGUCUGUGCAAAUGCUUUACUUAAAAGUGGGAAAAAGAUCUUAGUUAGCGAACCAAAAGAAACUAUUAACCUUAUAGUUGAUGUCUUGAUGAUCAUGAAGAAUUUGUUAGGAUAAAUGGUGAUGGAUCAUCCAAUCAUUUAUAUACCUACCUGAUAUAACAUAUGUGCUUGUUUUCUCUUUGGGCACAUAUGGAUAAUUUCUUUUUCUGUUUUUACGAUUCGCUUGUGGAUAUAUUCAAGCAUAAUGUAUACCCAGUUUAGAGAAUGAAGUAUUAAUUUUCACA